rnacentral:rRNA from 1 species
AAUAUUGGACAAUGGGCGAAAGCCUGAUCCAGCAAUGACGCGUGAGUGAUGAAGGCCAUAGGGUUGUACAGCUCUUUUACCAGGGAUGAUAAUGACAGUACCUGGAGAAUAAGCUCCGGCUAACUCCGUGCCAGCAGCCGCGGUAAUACGGAGGGAGCUAGCGUUGUUCGGAUAUACUGGGCGUAAAGCGCACGUAGGCGGCGCAGCAAGUCAGGGGUGAAAUCCCGGAGCUCAGCUCCGGAACUGCCCUUGAAACUGCAGUGCUAGAAUUCUGGAGAGGCGAGUGGAAUUCCGAGUGUAGAGGUGAAAUUCGUAGAUAUUCGGAAGAACACCAGUGGCGAAGGCGACUCGCUGGACAGACAUUGACGCUGAGGUGCGAAAGCGUGGGGAGCAAAC